GGGUUUGACAGCAGGAUGACUCCCUAUUUUUCUCAGAUUGGACAGAAACCAAGAGUCCAACUGUUUGAUGGUUGUUUCUAACAUAACACUCUUGCAAAAACUAGGGGUAGGGUUCAGGUGACCAUGAAGAGAUGUGAGAUAGUCCCUGUGGCAUCUUGUCUGAGGGUUUCAAAGCCAAAGCACUGACCAAAUUAUUAAUGAAACGAGGCUCAGCAGGGUUAUGUUUCCAUCUGAUCUCCAAAACAAAGAUCGUCCAAGACCAGGAUUGGAUCUCUGCUUAUGUCCAGUAAAUUACCACGACAGUGCCAACAGUAUAAGAGAGCCAGGCGUUUCCUGUAAAGGCAGAAAGAGAAACACAAGCAGGAGGGCAAUCACCUCAUUCUGGGAGGCUGAGGCUGGGGUCAGUUAGAGGAGGUGUGGGUGGUUAUUGGCUGGAGAAAAAAUAGGCAAGGGAGAUCAGGGAUAUUAUGGGUGGUAGUGGUAUAUGAUUGGUUGGAGUGUAAAAAAGCAGAAUUGGUCGAUGCAGACGUGAACCCUAUGAGUAGUAAAUGAUUAAGUUUGUGGUGUUGUCUUUAGUUCUUGAGGUCUGAAACUCUCUGUCGUGUAAAAAUGCUCCUGCAGCAAAAUGACCAAGACCUUUUUUAUUUUUCUCCACUUGCACUAUUCCCUCCCGUCAACCAUAAUGUUUAAUCUCCUGAAUGAAAUUGUAGAAUUGUACAUUGUAUUUCUACAAACAUGAAGUCAUACAAUCCCUAGUUUAUGGUAUCAAGAACAACCCAGGUUGAGUAUAAUGAGUCUGCGGUUCAUGAUCGAUGUAGGUGAUGAUAUAUUUAAUGGGAUCAUUAUCACUGAAGCUGUGGGACAGGGCUGGAAACAGAUACAAGCGCAGAUGUGCCUCUUUCAAUCAUUCAGGACAUUAACAAUGCAUCACAGAUUGAUCUAUUGGAAAAUCAAAGCAAGCAUUGUAUGAUCUCACCAGUGGUCUGACAUUUAAAACAAGCAACAAACAAGCCCUGCAAGGACAUCGUUGACAUACAAAUCAACCUGACCUUGAUUUACCCGCCGCAUACAGUACGUGUAUCUCAUUUGAUUGGAUUUGAGACCAGUGAGCAGUUUUUGGUCUGGAUGAUAUCUUUGAGGACUUAGCUGAAUAUUACAGAGUCAGACAGGACAGAUGACAAUUUAGCUCCUAUGGGAUUGUUUAUUUUUAAAUCAGUAAAGAUAACAGCAUGCAGGCCUAAUGCCAUCUGAAGCGACGCCAUAAAAAUGUGACUUCUCAUUUGAAACUAUCAAAUGAAAAUAAAAUUAUGCGAAGGAAAGAAUUAGAGCUGCAACAGAUUAAAUCUUCUGAUUUAUAUACUGUAUAUAUUUUUUUCUUCAAAAUAAUCCAAUUUAAAGAAUAAAACCAAAAAUAAGUAGAUUUCGCUGAGCAGUAAUGAGUAUCUGGAGUCUGGGGUUGCUCUUUUCUCUUAGAGACUCAUGUUGUUGUUCAGUAACAAAGUGGGAAGAAAGUAAGUCCUUUUUAUUCUAGUUGAUAAAUAAAAUAUGAUUAUGAACACACACACACACACACACACACACACACACACACACACACACACACACACACACACACACACACACACACUCAGUAGUCUUUUUUUUAAAUCUGUCCCCAUACACUGUCAUACUGAGGUUGGUCCACAUGAAAGACAACAGACAGGUAUGGAUUCAUAGAUAUAAAUUAUUUAUAACCAAUGCAAUGUCCACUACUUUUAGUAAUGUUGGAUAAAAUGCGCACAUUCCUGUUUCCAUGACAUCAAGCCCUUUUUAAGUUUAUGCAUUUUAAUACAGUUUCUGUUGCAAUUAGAUCGUGGGGUGGGAAUGAGAGGUUGGGCUGGGGUUGAUUUGGUUAUUCUUGUAAUCUUGGGUUGGGGUAAAUUUGUGUAUUCUUUGUUUCUUUUAUUCCUUUUUCUGUGUGAAGCACUUUGUGCUACAUGUUAUGUAUGAAAAGUGCUAUAAAAAUAAAGACUGAUAGAUUGAUUGAUUGAAAAUCCCAUGCAUGGCUCUUUAAUGAGAUUACCUAGCUAUCAGUCUGAACAAUAUCAUACUAAACUCAACAUUGUACAAAUCCAUAGAAGUGUGUCAGGAAGAAUAUGGUCAAGGGGACAGCAACUUGAUUAUUUUAUGGAUUGCUCCUUUAAAAGUAUUAAUGGUAUUGUUGGUGUCUGUUCAUCCAUUAUCUUAGGUUACCAACAAUAUUAUACUUCGUAUUACAUUGGCUGAUAUUGAGGCUAUUGGUGUUACUGCUGAAUAAGUGACCCUGUAGUGUGGAGAUGUGCCGUCUGUUACCAUGACAACUGCAUUAUCAUUCUGCUAAAAGUUGCGAGUGUACAGGCGGGCUGUAAAAUCACACUCCUGGUUGUCAUCCUCAAUCCUGAGGCAGGAUGACAAACCUUUCUCGUGUGCCAGGAAUUUACUACAAAGAAAUUAACAAUGGUCAAAAUUAUCAACAAAAUUCAGAAUAAAAAGUAUUAUUAAAAUGAUAUAGCAACAGGAUUGAAAAGUUAUUUGGAAGUUAGACAUGCACUGCAUUGAACAUAUCAUAUUGUUGGCUUGUGAACAUGAUGUAAAAACAGACAGCAACAUAACCAUUAAUACCCCAAAGUAGUCAUCUAUAAAAUAGUCAAUUUACAUGCACAUUCAUAUAUCUUUACUCCAUUGUAUCUGUUGUAUGAUUUUUGUGUUGAGGAUAGGUUUGGGAUCAUUUCUUUCUUUCUCAAUUUCUUUUUUACCUGAAACUGUGAGUUGGUAUUAAAGAGAGAUGCAGCAGCUGUGUUGUAAAUAUAUUGUCAAGUAAGGCCUGGGAAAUAAGGACUACAAACCCCAGCGACACAGGUAAGUGUUGGGAGACACCAUUUCCUGUCUGUUAGUCUGAUGACCUGUUGAUUGUGGAAUUGGGGAAACCUGUUCAUACAUGGGAUGAACUAAGACCAUGUUUACACAUGCCCAGCUAUUUUUAUAAACUGACAUUUCACCUCCUCUGUUUACAAAUAAAAAAAAAACAAACCUGCAUGCACACAACUUUCCAGAAAAGUUGUCGUUUACACUAACGCCUAUAUAUAUGCCGACUGACAGCAGCGAUGUCCAUGACAUCCAGGAAUUUUCACACCACUCCUCCGGCAGAACCACUUCAUUUUUAAAGUUCUCCCACCUGACAACAGUGCGUCCAGGUCGGACCGUGGCUGGCAAUGGCACGGACACACUCUUCGUGUCGGAUGGAGAAGUUGCUGCAACAUUGCUGACCUUAGAGCACUCAGUCGUCUCCGCUGCUCUUCAAAGUACAGCACUUGUAUUUGCAAAUACAAACAAAUGGAAAGGGAUUGCACCAGCAGAAAUACGACUGCUAUUCUGCAUGCAUCCAUGAUCAUCAUAGACUGAAAACAUAGACUGUAAACUAUAAACAACGGCACAUUUAACCAAUGUUUCCUGCGCACAAUCUGCCAUCGGCUACCCAAAUCUCCGUUUUUCUCUGUUUUUACAUUUUUACAAAAUAUCCACUCUGGCCGGAGUUUUUAAACAGCACCUUCUUCAGUGGCAAAUUCUUCGUUUGUGUCUAAAUGAAGGGUGCAAACAAUGGUUAAUAUACAUUUUUAAAAAUAACUAGGGAUGUAUAAACAGGGCCUUAGUCCAUGCAAAGAGAUGAAGUGGUAUAGUUUGGCCUGCACUGUGCAGCUUUUCACAUGAAUUUGGCCAGCGUGUUUGUAUACCUGCACCACCAUCUCCGCCAUCUUUCCACCACCACACCAAAACCUGAAUGAAACCUUCCAGAUGGAGCUGGCAGCUCAUGGGAGCAGAGGACUGUGCUCAUCGGGACACUGUGGUAGAAGUCCAGACUCCAUGCCUGGUGAGCACAGCUGUCAUUUUCAGUCUUAUCAAUUAAUAGGCUGAGAAAUUACCACAGUUAGUCAGAAUAUUGAGGUUUAAACAACUUGUGACCUGGAACACUAUUUUAAAACAUGAUAAAGAUAUGAGUUUCUUACCGUGAGCGUAGCUGCCAUGGAAGUACAGUACACAAAGGGCCAUAAAACUCUGAUUGUUCUCUUUCUGAACAAUUUCCACACCUGAAGUAACUUCUUUCUCAUUGUCCUCCUCCCUCCCUUUGUUUAAAAAAACAGAAAUCACUCAUGCAAGCAAAGUUUAAGAGAGAUGAAAGCAUUGUAAAUUACACAAUGGCAGCUUCCAUGGGAGUUAAUUUUGUUAAAAACCAAACCUUCUCAAAAUGCAAAAACUAUUGAUGUUUAUUUGUACUGGCUCAAGCCUUGGCAAAUUUUCCUCAAUUUUCUAAAGUGGAUACCUAACCGAGCUUGCAGAUGUCUUUGAUUUGUCUCUCAGAGAGGUCAGGAAACUGGGCCUCCUCUUUGCCAUUGCCAAGUCAAAGCUCCAGCAUCCUGGGCAGGAGCCAAAUACAUCUCCUCUGACAGUUUCUUUCUUUAUCCAAUUUUAGAAAUGAAAGAGUUUGAGUCACUUUGAGAGCAAAUUUGAAUGUCUUCUUCCACCACAUAGAAGUCAUGCUUGUGAAGCAUCUGUUCGGACCACAAGCCACUUGGCCCACAGACAAAACAGGAGUAACCAGUUGUGACACACCAGACGGAGUAGUUACUGUAUGUGGCUGCAAACAGGAAAGGUCACUUACCUCUGCAGAUAGAGGGACCGUGGUCCAUAUUUCAUGAGUUCAGACUCAGCAUCUGCAUGCCCAGGUCCACUAAGUACCAAGCCCUGAAUAUUUUCAGCUGUGUGCUAAAGCCAAAUGUGAAGAACAACUCCUCAUAUGGAGAGGGAAUGAGAAAAAAAACAACAACACUUGACUGAUUCACAAAAGGAUGAAGACUUGUAUGAAGAAAAUUACCCAGAGAGUACCAAGCAGGUUCCAAGAAGCAAUGACUGAAAGGUCAGUUUCUAGGAACUGCAGGGAAAAGUGGUAGCUGUGAAAAAAAGAAAAAUACCCAGGUAAUUGCGAGAUAAGGAGUGCUUUUUACUUGUCUGCAUGGAUCUGUCCUCAGAAAGAUGACCAAAGGAGCAAUGAAUGGAGUUUAUUUGAUGUAACAACUGAGCACAAGAGGCUGAUACUCCAGAGUCUACGAUCUAUUCAUGUGAGAGCCAUAAUGCUUUUUGUCAGUGACUAUUUCAGCCAGUUAGUGUGUUAAUGAAUUUGUUUUUUUAAAUAGAACUGAUAAAAGUCAUUGCUCAGAAAAUGUACCUUUUUUUUUUUUAUCUUUAAUGAGUUUUCAUUCUGCUUUCUUUAGUUCAAAGUCACACUUUCUUUAGUUUACAGUCACACUCAUCCUAUUCUCAUGGCAAAGUGUUUUGACACGUAGCUUCAUGCAAACUUGGGCUUGUGUCAGCACCUAUGGAUGUUGGCUUCAAAAUGCGGUGUGAUCAAGCACAAAAAUGGCAAGAUAGUAAGAGUUCACAAUGCACAUUCCUCUUUUUUUUCACAGAGAGCUGCACAGAAGCACUCACAUGAGGAAAUAACAUCUUUUUUUUUUUUUUUCUAAAAGAGUAAAACUGAAUGUUUAUUGGGACAGACAGCUUGGAGACACAUAUUUUCCCUCAUUUCCAUACACUAUAAUACAGAAUGGUGCCCAUUUCAGAACACGAGAAGAUACUGAUGACUUCAUUGCAACUCUUCACAGACCAGUUUAACCACAAGCCAAAUUAUCAAGACCAGGGCAUCGACAAGCUCUCCACCAUGCACACUCU